AUUGAACGCUGGCGGCAGGCCUAACACAUGCAAGUCGAACGAGUGGCGGACGGGUGAGUAAUGUCUGGGAAUCUGCCUGAUGGCGGGGGAUAACUACUGGAAACGGUAGCUAAUACCGCAUACCAUCGGAUGUGCCCAUAUGGGAUUAGCUAGUAGGUGAGGUAAAGGCUCACCUAGGCGACGAUCCCUAGCUGGUCUGAGAGGAUGACCAGCCACACUGGAACUGAGACACGGUCCAGACUCCUACGGGAGGCAGCAGUGGGGAAUAUUGCACAAUGGGCGCAAGCCUGAUGCAGCCAUGCCGCGUGUAUGAAGAAGGCCUUCGGGUUGUAAAGUACUUUCAGCGGGGAGGCGUUACCCACAGAAGAAGCACCGGCUAACUCCGUGCCAGCAGCCGCGGUAAUUC
rnacentral:rRNA from 1 species